UACGGUUGAGUAUUACAUCAGGUACUGGUGUGCCUUAAAUCCAACAACCAGUACUUAUGUCAUACUACGCCGUG
ensembl:ncRNA mir-12 mir-12 stem loop